rnacentral:ncRNA from 1 species
GAUUUUUCUUCUAGUCUCAACUCCUGCAUCUUUGUUUCCAAUAAUCUGAUCUGAAGGAUGAUUCUUCUGUACUCGUUUUCUAGGUGUCUUUGGAGAUACUUGUUGGACUUGCUCUUCUACUUCUGUCAGAUUCUCUUCAUCUUCAUCUUCCUCUUCUUCUUCUUUUUCAUCUUCUUCUUCAAAAAGUUGUUCCAUUUAUUUGUUUUCUUCUUUGUUUGAUUCUGGUCUACCUGUUUCAUCAAUUGUUACGUUGAUUAUUUCCACAACUUUGUUUAAUCUUAGAUUGUAACACUUGUAUGCUUUCCUUGUACUUGAGUAACCAACAAGUAUUUCGUUGUCCACACGAGAGUCACACAUUCCCAUUCUACCAUCUUCUCUUUUGAUGUAGCAUUUGAUUCCAAAAACUCUAAAGUGCUUCACAUUUGUUGGUCUUCCUUUCCAUAGCUCGUAGGGAGUUUUAUCAGUGUUGUUUCUGAGCAUUACUUUGUUUUGAAUGUGAACUGUUGUAUGCACCAUCUGUGUCCAAAAAAUAUAUUUCAACUUUGAAUCCAUUAUCAUUGUUCGAUCCAUUUCUUGUAUUGUCCUAUUCUUUCUUUCAACAACUCCAUUCUAUUGAGGUGUCCAGUAGGGGCGAUAUAAUUUUUAAUUCCCCCCACUUGGGCGGUUUAUACCACGGUCGAGACUCAGAAACCCUGAAUUCCCCACACUUGGGCAGUUUCUGCCAGGGUCGAGACUCAGAAACCCUGAAUUCCCCGCACUUGGGCUGGUUUCUCCCACUGUCAAGACUAGGAAACCCUGAAUUCCCCCCACUUGGGUGGUUUCUUCCACGGUCGAGACUCGAAAACCUAAAAUUCCCUGCACUUGGGUCGAUUUCUCCAAUGAUCGAGACUCAAAAACCCCAAAUUCCCUUCACUUGGGUUGGUUUCUCCCACGGUUGAGACUCGAAAACCUCGAAUUCCCUGCACUUGGGCCGGUUUGUCCCAUGGUCGAGACUCAGAAACCUCGAAUUCCCCGCACUUGGGUCGGUUUCUCCCGAACACAAGGCAAACUUGGGGUUUCUCGAAUGCAAACCCUUGGGUUAGAUUCUCCUGAAUGCAAGGCAAACUUGGGGUUUCCUUAAUGCAAACCCUUAGGUCAAUUUCUCCCUUGGUCGAGAGUUAGAAACCCCGAAAUCCCCAUACACGCACAAAACCUUGCAUAUGUGAAACAAGAGGUGUCGAGAUUUAGGAUGGGAUGAGCAUAGGCUCUGAAUCGAGGCGAUGAAGGGAUGAAUCUCAGUGGAUCAUGGAAGCAAGGAAACUCUGCCAGUUACAAUACUUGAGGUGCCUAAAUCUAAGCUGAGUUGGCAAGAGGAGUGCCCAACCAACAAAACCGAAAGAGCCAGCGACAGAGUUGCGGUGGGGAGAAAACUUGGGGUUUCCAAAGGCCAUGCAAGGCAAGUUGGAAAGAGGGGUGCCCAAAACCAAGCUGAGUACCAUCCAUGCCAAUCCAAAACCUCAACAGAAUGGAGUUGUUGAAAGAAAUAAUAGGACAGUACAAUAAAUGACUCAACAAGGUUUAACGAAACGCAUAAAGAGCCAUAACGAAAACGACCACACAACACAAAAUGCCAAUCCGAAAAAACUGAAGGGCCUGUGACAUGACUCAUGUGAAGAAGAAUUCACCAAGUGUUGGAUUGUUCACCCACCAAUAAGGAAUGUGAUCUGGGUUUAGACUGUCAUGAGAUAGGUUAGUUUUACCCUACUGAUGAAUCGUGCUGCAAUAGUAAUUCAACUUAGUACGAGAGGAACCGUUGAUUCACACAAUUGGUCAUCACACUUGGUUGAAAAUCUAGUGGUGCAAAGCUACUAUGUGUCAGAUUAUGAAUGAAUUCCUCUAAGUCAGAAUCCAUGCUAGAAGUGGCGCUUGUCACUCCUCGA